rnacentral:rRNA from 1 species
CCUACGGGUGGCAGCAGUGAGGAAUAUUGGUCAAUGGGCGCGAGCCUGAACCAGCCAAGUAGCGUGAAGGAUGACUGCCCUACGGGUUGUAAACUUCUUUUAUAAAGGAAUAAAGUGAGGCACGUGUGCCUUUUUGUAUGUACUUUAUGAAUAAGGAUCGGCUAACUCCGUGCCAGCAGCCGCGGUAAUACGGAGGAUCCGAGCGUUAUCCGGAUUUAUUGGGUUUAAAGGGAGCGUAGAUGGGUUGUUAAGUUAGUUGUGAAAGCUUGCGGCUCAACCGUAAAAUUGCAAUUGAUACUGGCCGUCUAGAGAACAGUUGAGGUAGGCGGAAUUCGUGGUGUAGCGGUGAAAUGCUUAGAUAUCACAAAGAACUCCGAUUGCGAAGGCAGCUUACUAAGCUGCCACUGACAUUGAUGCUCGAAAGUGUGGGGAUCAAACAGGAUUAGAUACCCCAGUAGUC